AACGAACGCUGGCGGCAUGCCUAACACAUGCCAGUCGAACGAGACCUUCGGGUCUAGUGGCGCACGGGUGCGUAACGCGUGGGAACCUGCCCUUAGGUUCGGAAUAACUCCCCGAAAGGGGUGCUAAUACCGGAUAAUGUCUUCGGACCAAAGAUUUAUCGCCUUUGGAUGGGCCCGCGUUGGAUUAGCUAGUUGGUAGGGUAAAAGCCUACCAAGGCGACGAUCCAUAGCUGGUCUGAGAGGAUGAUCAGCCACACUGGGACUGAGACACGGCCCAGACUCCUACGGGAGGCAGCAGUGGGGAAUAUUGGACAAUGGGCGCAAGCCUGAUCAAGCCAUGCCGCGUGAGUGAUGAAGGCCUUAGGGUUGUAAAGCUCUUUUACCCGGGAUGAUAAUGACAGUACCGGGAGAAUAAGCGCCGGCUAACUCCGUG
rnacentral:rRNA from 1 species